rnacentral:sRNA from 1 species
GUGGAUGAAGAAUGAAAAGGCCACCGAGUAUGAAAAACUUCACUCUAUAUCAGAAAUUAAAAUCGAAAACUCUAAAUCAAAAGCCUCAAUAUAUAGUUCAGCUGUGACUUUAAGUUUCACCUGCCUUUUAUUAACAGCAGCGUUACUCUAGGAGCUUGAAAAGUUCAAACUGCAAUGUACUAUAGAAAGUAGAGAUUGUUUAAAUAAUGUUUAUGAUAAUAUAAUCAGCAAAGUCUUGGGUAUAUCCUACAGCUAUAAUAAAUCUUUUUUCUUUUCUAUCUAAUGUCAAUUUAUAUUUCUACCUAACAAAAACAUAGGAAAUUGGCAUUUUUUUAAAUCAAAUAAUUGAAUUGCUGCCAAGCAUGGGGUGUUCACAAUAAACGUUACUCUACGUCAGUGAUUCUUAAAAUUGUUUAAAUAGACACCUCAGGAGUCUAUGAAGACUUCCGAGGGGGUCUACGUAAGUGAAAACGUGAAUUGAGAGUCUCCAAGAUGUGCACGUUGGUCUACAAUAGUGGAUCCUCAUUUAAGCAGAUCGUGACUUUUAUUUUGAUAUAUCAUUAAUGGAAUGACUUCAUACACACAUAUUUGAAUUGUACGUUAGGUAAUCCUUUAAAUUUUAGUCCUUCCAUUGUAUUAUAUUUUAAUAACCUAUUUAAAUAGCUUAUUAUUUUCUAGAUGCAACUAGAUGUAACUAAUAUUUAACAAAAGAAAUAUAGACUGUACAUCG